rnacentral:rRNA from 1 species
UACGUAGGGGGCAAGCGUUGUCCGGAAUCAUUGGGCGUAAAGCGCGUGUAGGCGGGUCGGUAAGUCCGCUCUGAAAGCCCCGGGGCUCAACCCCGGGAGGCGGGUGGAUACUGUCGACCUCGAGUCCGGAAGAGGCGAGUGGAAUUCCUGGUGUAGCGGUGAAAUGCGCAGAUAUCAGGAGGAACACCAAUGGCGAAGGCAGCUCGCUGGGACGGUACUGACGCUGAGACGCGAAAGCGUGGGGAGCAAACAGG